AGCAACCGCGGUAAUUCCAGCUCCAAUAGCGUAUAUUAAAGUUGUUGCAGUUAAAAAGCUCGUAGUUGAAUUUCGGGGUUAGUAGGUUGGUCAUGCCUCUGGUGUGUACUGGUCUCACUGAUUCCUCCUUCCUGAUGAACCGUAAUGCCAUUAAUUUGGUGUUGCGGGGAAUUUGGACUGUUACUUUGAAAAAUUAGAGUGUUUAAAGCAAGCUAACGCUUGAAUACAUUAGCAUGGAAUAAUGAAAUAGGACGUUCGAUCCUAUUUUGUUGGUUUCUAGGAUUGACGUAAUGAUUAAUAGGGAUAGUUGGGGGCAUUAGUAUUCAAUUGUCAGAGGUGAAAUUCUUGGAUUUAUUGAAGACUAACUACUGCGAAAGCAUUUGCCAAGGAUGUUUUCAUUAAUCAAGACGAAAGUUAGGGGAUCGAAGACGAUCAGAUACCGUCGUAGUCUUAACCAUAAACUAUGCCGACUAGGGAUCGGAUGAUGUUAAUUUUUAAUGACUCAUUCGGCGCCUUACG
rnacentral:rRNA from 1 species